CAGUAGCCGCGGUAAUACAGAGGGUGCGAGCGUUAAUCGGAUUUACUGGGCGUAAAGCGUGCGUAGGCGGCUUCUUAAGUCGGAUGUGAAAUCCCUGAGCUUAACUUAGGAAUUGCAUUCGAUACUGGGAAGCUAGAGUAUGGGAGAGGAUGGUAGAAUUCCAGGUGUAGCGGUGAAAUGCGUAGAGAUCUGGAGGAAUACCGGUGGCGAAGGCGGCCCCCUGGACAAAGACUGACGCUCAGGUGCGAAAGCGUGGGGAGCAAACAGGAUUAGAUACCCGCGUAGUCCCUGUCUCUUAUAA
rnacentral:rRNA from 1 species